AAGUUGUAAUUUAGAUAGGAAAAUAUAGGGGAGUAGAGGCCUAUAAAUUCAUGGCUUUUAUGAAGCAAAAACUUGCACUCCAAUAACAACAACAACAACAACCCAUAUAGUCCCACAAAGUGGGGUUUAGAAAGGUAAUCUGUAGACGGGCCUUACCCCUACCCGAAAAGGCAGAGAGGCUGUUUCCAAUCUUAUUGCACUCCAAUAACACAUUUUCUUAUAUAUCUUUCUCCCUCUUAUAAGCAAUACUGUUGUUGUCAUGGCUCGCAGUUAUGCACCUAUUAAUUUUAUGUACAAAAAAAAUUCAGCACCCACAAACUUGAAUUCCUAGAUCCGCCACUGUCUCCGAUACUUGCUGUGAGAGACUUGCCGACGAAUGUACCAGCAGAACUCUAAUCAAAACUAACUGAUGGUAAGAGUUUGAUGAGUGAUUGCGGCGGAUACUGCCGCUCGAACAGUGACUGCUAUGAUAGGUAUUGUAAGUAUUGUUACUACGAUGUUAUUAACCACAUCUAUGGCUGCGGCUAAGGGAGGAUCAUCGAUGGCCAACACAAUAUGAAGUCUGUUGCUUCUCACUAUGAGUAGAGAUGUUUAAUUUGUGUGAUGGUUUAUUGUCUUUGCUAGUGUUUUCCUUUUCUCGUUUCAGUUUUUCUUUUUCUCAUGGAAGAAAAUAAAAUCACUGUUUAGAUCUCAGGACAAUGUCAAAUGUAACAUCAAGAUGGGUUGUGUUGGCCUACAAUAACUGUUCGUAUUGUAUAUGGUAAAAAUAGAUCGGUAUAACCAUUUUUUGGACUAAUCAUUUAAAAAUAGUCAGUGCUAAUUAAAAAUAGCCACUAUUUUGCCGUAACAGAAAUCAG
rnacentral:lncRNA from 1 species